AGAAGGAGAAGAAGGAGAAGGAAAAGAAGAAGUGUCUUUGUUGCUGCUGACUGACUUGGGCUUUCUUUCUUUAGGUCACAGUUUACUCUAGGAAUUGCAAGUGGCCAAGCUGAGUGUAGCAGCGUUGCAGGACGGUCCAUAUGGGCUGGUGACCAACAUGCAGAGCGCACGAGGAUGAGUGCAGCUGGUACAGGCCAGAAGGUCCGGAGCGGAUACCUACCCAGGAGAUCUGGACUCAUUCACUCCUCCCGUCAGGCCAUUGCCCAAG